rnacentral:rRNA from 1 species
UGGGGAAUUGUUCGCAAUGGGCGCAAGCCUGACGACGCAACGCCGCGUGGAGGACGAAGAUUUUCGGAUCGUAAACUCCUUUCGAUCGGGAAGAACAGCUUUCCAGUUAACAGCCGGAGAGUCUGACGGUACCGAGAGAAGAAGCCCCGGCUAACUCCGUGCCAGCAGCCGCGGUAAUACGGGGGGGGCAAGCGUUGUUCGGAAUUACUGGGCGUAAAGGGCCAGUAGGCGGCCAACUAAGUCCGACGUGAAAUCCCAAGGCUUAACCUUGGAACUGCGUCGGAUACUGGAUGGCUUGAAUUCGGGAGAGGGAUGCAGAAUUCCAGGUGUAGCGGUGAAAUGCGUAGAUAUCUGGAGGAAUACCGGUGGCGAAGGCGGCAUCCUGGACCGACAUUGACGCUGAACGGCGAAAGCUAGGGGAGCAAACGG